GUGAACAAAACUGCACCGUGUCCAGAGAGAAAGUUGGGAGCAAAAAAGAAAAUGGACUCGGCCAUACACCCCCCAUGGGAUGAAUAGCUGGAAUCAUUUCGUCGGUGAUAUUAUUGAAAGUUUAACUCGAGGAACAGCUGUUGCAACGGUGUCACCGGGCCUCGCUGCUUUGGGGUACAAAUAUAUUAAUUUAGGU